rnacentral:rRNA from 1 species
UAGGGAAUCUUCGGCAAUGGACGAAAGUCUGACCGAGCAACGCCGCGUGAGUGAAGAAGGUUUUCGGAUCGUAAAACUCUGUUGUCAGAGAAGAACAAGGACGUUAGUAACUGAACGUCCCCUGACGGUAUCUAACCAGAAAGCCACGGCUAACUACGUGCCAGCAGCCGCGGUAAUACGUAGGUGGCAAGCGUUGUCCGGAUUUAUUGGGCGUAAAGCGAGCGCAGGCGGUUUCUUAAGUCUGAUGUGAAAGCCCCCGGCUCAACCGGGGAGGGUCAUUGGAAACUGGGAGACUUGAGUGCAGAAGAGGAGAGUGGAAUUCCAUGUGUAGCGGUGAAAUGCGUAGAUAUAUGGAGGAACACCAGUGGCGAAGGCGGCUCUCUGGUCUGUAUCUGACGCUGAGGCUCGAAAGCGUGGGGAGCAAACAGG